CAAGCGGUGGAGCAUGUGGUUUAAUUCGAUGCAACGCGAAGAACCUUACCUGGUCUUGACAUCCACGGAAGUUUUCAGAGAUGAGAAUGUGCCUUCGGGAACCGUGAGACAGGUGCUGCAUGGCUGUCGUCAGCUCGUGUUGUGAAAUGUUGGGUUAAGUCCCGCAACGAGCGCAACCCUUAUCCUUUGUUGCCAGCGGUCCGGCCGGGAACUCAAAGGAGACUGCCAGUGAUAAACUGGAGGAAGGUGGGAUGACGUCAAGUCAUCAUGGCCCUUACGACCAGGGCUACACACGUGCUACAAUGGCGCAUACAAAGAGAAGCGACCUCGCGAGAGCAAGCGGACCUCAUAAAGUGCGUCGUAGUCCGGAUUGGAGUCUGCAACUCGACUCCAUGAAGUCGGAAUCGCUAGUAAUCGUGGAUCAGAAUGCCACGGUGAAUACGUUCCCGGGCCUU
rnacentral:rRNA from 1 species